rnacentral:rRNA from 1 species
UACGUAGGGUGCAAGCGUUAAUCGGAAUUACUGGGCGUAAAGCGUGCGCAGGCGGUUUUGUAAGUCAGAUGUGAAAUCCCCGGGCUUAACCUGGGAACUGCGUUUGAAACUACAAGGCUAGAGUGUAGCAGAGGGGGGUGGAAUUCCACGUAUAGCAGUGAAAUGCGUAGAGAUGUGGAGGAACACCGAUGGCGAAGGCAGCCCCCUGGGUUAACACUGACGCUCAGGCACGAAAGCGUGGGGAGCAAACAGG